rnacentral:rRNA from 1 species
ACGAACGCUGGCGGCGUGCUUAACACAUGCAAGUCGAGCGGUAAGGCCCUUUCGGGGGUACACGAGCGGCGAACGGGUGAGUAACACGUGGGUGACCUGCCCUUAGCUCUGGGAUAAGCCUGGGAAACUGGGUCUAAUACCGGAUAUGACUCCAUGACGCAUGUUGUGGGGUGGAAGGCCUUGUGCGGCUAGGGAUGGGCCCGCGGCCUAUCAGCUUGUUGGAGGGGUGAUGGCCUACCAAGGCGACGACGGGUAGCCGGCCUGAGAGGGCGACCGGCCACACUGGGACUGAGAUACGGCCCAGACUCCCACGGGAGGCAGCAGUGGGGAAUCUUGCGCAAUGGGCGAAAGCCUGACGCAGCGACGCCGCGUGA